AGCGAACGCUGGCGGCAGGCCUAACACAUGCAAGUCGAACGCCCGUAGCAAUACGGGAGUGGCAGACGGGUGAGUAACGCGUGGGAACGUGCCCUUCGGUUCGGAAUAACCCAGGGAAACUUGGGCUAAUACCGGAUACGUCCGCAAGGAGAAAGAUUUAUCGCCGAAGGAUCGGCCCGCGUCCGAUUAGCUAGUUGGUGAGGUAACGGCUCACCAAGGCGACGAUCGGUAGCUGGUCUGAGAGGAUGAUCAGCCACACUGGGACUGAGACACGGCCCAGACUCCUACGGGAGGCAGCAGUGGGGAAUAUUGGACAAUGGGCGCAAGCCUGAUCCAGCCAUGCCGCGUGGGUGAUGAAGGCCCUAGGGUUGUAAAGCCCUUUCGGCGGGGAAGAUAAUGACGGUACCCGCAGAAGAAGCCCCGGCUAACUUCGUGCCAGCCGCCGCAGUAAAAC
rnacentral:rRNA from 1 species